rnacentral:rRNA from 1 species
CCUACGGGUGGCAGCAGUGAGGAAUAUUGGUCAAUGGCCGAGAGUCUGAACCAGCCAAGUCGCGUGAGGGAUGACGGCCCUAUGGGUUGUAAACUUCUUUUAUAUGGGAAUAAAAUGCUCCACGUGUGCGCUUUUGUAUGUACCAUAUGAAUAAGGAUCGGCUAACUCCGUGCCAGCAGCCGCGGUAAUACGGAGGAUGCGAGGGUUAUCCGGAUUUAUUGGGUUUAAAGGGUGCGUAGGCGGACCGGAAAGUCAGCGGUAAAAGCCCGGGGCUCAACCCCGGCGAGCCGUUGAAACUGGGUGACUAGAGACGGCGAGAAGUACGCGGAAUGCGCGGUGUAGCGGUGAAAUGCAUAGAUAUCACGCAGAACUCCGAUUGCGAAGGCAGCGUACCGGCGCCGGACUGACGCUGAGGCACGAAAGCGUGGGUAUCGAACAGGAUUAGAUACCCUGGUAGUC